AGUUAUGGGUUGGGUCAACCC
rnacentral:snRNA from 1 species